CGAGAAGAACAACUGGGAUUGCCCUAGUACGGCGAGUGAAGCGGCAACAGCUCAAAUUUGAAAUCUGGCUCGGCCCGAGUUGUAAUUUGAAUAGGAUGGGACUGGCGCGGUGCCUUCCGAGUUCCCUGGAACGGGACGCCACAGAGGGUGAGAGCCCCGUAUGGUCGGACACCAAGCCUGGGUGAAGCUCCUUCGACGAGUCGAGUAGUUUGGGAAUGCUGCUCUAAAUGGGAGGAAAAUCUCUUCUAAAGCUAAAUACCGGCCAGAGACCGAUAGCGCACAAGUAGAGUGAUCGAAAGAUGAAAAGCACCUUGAAAAGGGGGUCAAAUAGUACGUGAAAUUGUUGAAAGGGAAGCACUUGUGACCAGACCUGGGCCGGGGGGCUCAUCGGGGGUUCUCCCCUGUGAACUCCGCCCGGCCCAGGCCAGCAUCGGUUCUCGUGGGGGGAUAAGACCGACAGGAACGUAGCACCCUCCGGGGUGUGAUAUAGCCUGGCGGACGAUACCCCCGUGGGGACCGAGGUUCGCGCUCCUCAAGGAUGCUGGCGUAAUGGUCACCAGUGACCCGUCUUGAAACACGGACCAAGGAGUCGUCCAUUAGAGCGAGCGUUUGUGCGUAAAACCCGCACGCGUAAUGAAAGUGAACGCAGGUGAGAGCUUCGGCGCAUCAUCGACCGAUCCUGAUGUUCUCGGAAGGAUUUUG
rnacentral:rRNA from 1 species